GAUGAACGCUGGCGGCGUGCUUAAUACAUGCAAGUCGCGCGACCAGAUAAGGAGUUUGUUCCUUUGCCGUUAGCGGCGGACGGGUGAGUAACACGUGGGUAACCUACCUAUAAGACUGGGCUAACUUAGGGGACCAGGAGCUAAUUCCUGAUAAUAUUUCGACCCGCAUGGUUCGAUAGUGAAAGAUGGUUUUGCUAUCACUUAUAGAUGGACCCGCGCCGUAUUAGCUAGUUGGUAAGGUAACGGCUUACCAAGGCGACGGUGCGUAGCUGACCGGGGAGUGUGAGCAGCCACACUGGAACUGGAACACGGACCAGACCCCUACUGGAGGCAGCGGUAGGGAAGAGGCAGCAAGGGGAAAGAGCGUAACGGAGCAACGCCGAGUGAGUGAGGAAAUUCCGCGGAUCGGAAAACUCAGCUAUUAUUGAAGGACGAUAAUGUAACUAACGGGGGGGUUUUUGAAGGUACCGAAUCAAAAAGGCCCGGCUAACUACGUG
rnacentral:rRNA from 1 species